rnacentral:rRNA from 1 species
AUGCUCAAGUUGAUAAAGAGGCAUACAAAUUGUUUGAAACCAGCUCUAAAUGAAAAGAACAAGAAGGAUAGAAUGAAAUUUUGCUUGUCAAUGCUCGAUGAGACAACAACACAAACUGAAAGGCCAAAAUUCAAGACCAUGCACAACAUUAUUCAUAUCGAUGAGAAAUGGUUCUAUAUGACCAAGAGAAAAAGGAACUAUUAUCUGUUGUAUGGGGAGGAAGAGCCUACAAGAACUCUGCAAAACGGUAGUUGUAUUGGAAAGGUUAUGUUCUUGACAGCGAUUGCUAGGCCGAGGUGGGAUAAUGAAGGAAAUGUGACCUUCUCUGGAAAACUUGGAAUUUGGCCGUUUGUGAAAGAAGUUUCGGCUCAAAGGAGAAGCGACAACAGGCCCAGAGGAACAUUGGAGACAAAGUCAAUAAAAGUCAACAGGCAAGUAAUGAGAGAGUUCAUGACAGAGAACCUGCUGCCAGCAAUACAAGCAUCUUGGCCUGAGAAUGAUGCUGGGCAAACCAUCUAUAUACAGCAAGACAACGCUAAGCCUCAUAUCUUGCCUAAUGACCCAGAAUUUUUAGCAGCCGUGGAAAGAACUGGACUCGAUAUCAGACUAAUCCAACAACCUGCCAAUAGCCCUGAUCUGAAUGGCCUUGACCUUGGGUUCUUCAGCUCGUUGCAAUCUCUAACAGAUUGUUUAAGCCCUAGAACGCUUCAGGAUCUUAACAAGGGUGUGCUAGAUGAAUUUGAAAACUAUGAUGUUUACAAGGUGAACAGAGUUUUCCUAUCUCUACAAGCUUGCAUGAUUGAAAUCUUGAACCAUGCAGGGGGCAAUGGGUAUAAAAUACCUCAUGCAAACAAGGAAAGGCUAGAGAACUUUGGGAUUCUACCUCCAAGACUUACAUGCCCUCAAGAGGUAUAUGCAAAUGCCCUGCACAAUAUUGGGAUAAUGGAGAGAGUUGCUUGUUGA